rnacentral:rRNA from 1 species
AGGGGAACAACCCAGACUACCGACUAAGGUCCCAAAAUCUUAUUUAAGUGGAAAACGAUGUGAAGUUACUUAAACAACCAGGAGGUUGGCUUAGAAGCAGCCAUCCUUUAAAGAUAGCGUAAUAGCUCACUGGUCUAGUGAUUUUGCGCGGAAAAUAUAACGGGGCUAAAAUAAGUACCGAAGUCGUAGACUUAGUUUUACUAAGUGGUAGGAGAGCGUUGUAUUUAGCGUUGAAGAUGUACCGGUAAGGAGCGUUGGAGCAAAUACAAGUGAGCAUGCAGGCAUGAGUAGCGUUAAAUCAGGUGAGAAUCCUGAUCGCCGAAAACCCAAGGUUUCCUACGCGAUGCUCGUCAUCGUAGGGUUAGUCGGGUCCUAAGCAAAGUCCGAAAGGGGUAUGCGAUGGAAAAUUGGUUAAUAUUCCAAUACCAAUUAUUAUGUGCGAUGGAAGGACGCUUAAAGUUAGUGGAGCUAACUGAUGGAAUAGUUAGUCUAAGGUCGUAGGUUGAGUUAU